rnacentral:pre_miRNA from 9 species
UCUCGAUAGCGUUAAAGUUAACUCAAAAUUUGUAUGGAGUUGGAACGUUUGCGUACGUUUGCCGCUAGGGGCGCUGUUCCAACUGCAUACAAAUUCGAGUUAACUUUUACGAUAUCGA